CACAGGUAUAUUUGUAGCAAUAGACAACAAUACAUUGUAUGGGUCACAAUUAUACAUUUCUCUUUUAUGACAAAAAUCAUUAGGAUAUUAAGAUCAUGUUCCAUGAAGAUAUUUAGUAAAUUUCCUACCGUAAAUAUAUCAAAACUUAAUUAUUGAUUAGUAAUAUGCAUUGCUAAGAACUUCAUUUGAACAACUUUAAAGAUGAUUUUCUCAAUAUUUAGAUUUUUUUGCUCCCUCAGAUUCCAGAUUUUCAAAUAGUUGUAUCUCAGACAAAUAUUGUCCUCCUGACAAACCACACAUCAAUGGAGAGAUUAUUUAUUCAGCUUCAGAUGAUGUAUAAAUCUCAAUUUCAAAAAACUGACCUUUAUGACUGGUUUUGUGAUCCAGGGUCACAUAUAUUAUGUAAAAAAACUUUUAUUUUGGAUGUGAUUAAUCAUUGCCCAGCAGUAGUUUACAGUUGCCUCAGUUAAAGCCGGACAUGAUGUUUGUAUGACUUCAGAAUCAUCCACUAAAAGCGUCUGCUGCACCCUGUACAGAUAAAACUACACAAAUGAGAUGUUUUCUUUCCUGUGUUGAUGUGUUUCCUACUGAAACAGAGAGUCGGUGGGACAUGCGGUAUUUAAGGGCUCAUGUGUUUUAACCCUCUGGUGUUGUUUGGUCAGUUUAGACCGAAAAAAAUAUGGACUUGAUUUGAAAAAGCUAAAUGGUCAUAAAAAAAUAGUCCUACUUAUGUUGUUCACAUCUCAAAAAUGACCACCAUAGGAAAUGAAUGGGAAAUAGGCAAAAAAAAAAAAAAAAAUUCAACAAUGCAAAGAUGUUUUUGUGUGUACAAUCUACAAAUUAGUCACAAUGCAGAAAAAGUGCACAGCAAUAAAGAGGUGACAAAACUUGAGUAAUUAUGCCUGAAAACACUGCUCAGUAACUAAGGAAUGCACAGCAUUGAAUUUAUACGGCUAUACUGGCAGCUAAUGGCUGCUCCAUGGUGGAACACAUCUGCUUCAAAUCUAGGAAUUUUAAAUACUUUUGCUCUAUUUUUAACUCAAAUACUGCAUUAAUUGAAAAAUUAUAUAUAUAUAUAUAUAUAUAUAUAUAUAUAUAUAUAUAUAUUACAAUUUAUACAGAAAAUAGUCCAUAAUUUAGAUGUGGAUAUUAAUUAGUAACAUGACACACACUCAAAAUGCAAAAUAUUAAAGCAAAAAACAAUAUAGAAAUUAAAUACAGUAUAUUCAUUUUGCAAAAAUUAAAUUUUUACACAAUUAUGGCCUCCGGUCAGUUUUGACCGUUAAUAACGCGACUCCCAAAGGAACAAUACCAGAGGGUUAAAUCAUUCACUUUGUCCAAACCUACAUGAUUUUCUCACAGGUUUGGCUCAUAAUGUACAUAAAAUAGGUUUCAUUUGGACUUUAAUUCAAUGCUAAAGAAAGAGUUCACCCAAAAAUGGUCAUUCUGUCAUCAUUUACACACCCUCAAAGCUUUCUGUCUUCUGCUGAACACAAAAGAAGAUAUUUUGAAGAAUGUUGGGAAACAAAAAGUAGCUGCUAGCCGUUGACCUCCAUAAUAUGAAGAAAACACUACGGACGUCAACAUUUUUGGGUGAACUCUUCCUGGUUUCUGUGCUUCAUUGGGGUUUAUGUGGAUGUUCUGUGAUGCUCAAAGUCGUGGUUCUCUGUGAUUUUGUACUUUCAGCUCUGAACUGUUUUACUGCUGAUUUCGCCCUCAUGAAUGUUUUAAAAAUGUAUUUCCACUUUAAGUCAAGUGCACACUACAAAACCAAAGCACUUCAUGUUUUUAGGGUAACACUUUAUUUCGAGUUCACUUUAGACUUUCUGCUAACUACAAGUAUCUUUGCAACUACAUGCCAACUAGCAGAGUAUUAGUAGACCGUCUGCUGAAUAUCUGCCACACAACAGACUUCUACUAACUCUAAGCAGCGCUGGGUAACUGAUUACAUGUGAUCCGGAUCAGGUAACCAGAUUCCAAAAAUGAAGUACUUGUAAUUAGAUUUAAAACACUUCAUGAUGUUGACAUUAAAGAACAGAAUAUAUUCUCUUACAAGUUACGCCAAAAGUAAUCUAAAAGUACCAAAUAUGUGUAAUCAAAUAUAUUAUGUGACAAACUGCAGUUUUGCUCAUGUAAUUUGUAAUUGUUUGUUGACAUGCAGUUACUUUAAUGUCCCAAGCGGACUAUCGUAAUAAAGUGUGACUGUUUUAAAUUUGUGAGAAUGCAGCAAAAAAAACUCCAGACUGCAGCCUGAAGUUGUAAUUUCUAAUGCAAAACCUGUAAGUACUGAAGUACAAUUAAAUGAGGAAACUUUUUUAUUUCUAAUAAAUCACUGGCUAGAUACUUGUGUGAAAUAUUGAGAUUAAAAGUAAGAUUCCUCUGUACUUUUAAACCCCCGAGAGCAGAAACGAGCCAGAAAAACAGCAAGAGCAUGAAGCAGCGCCAGCGGAGGCCGAGGCCGUGGGAAGACGGAGCCAAAAAAACCUGCUGCCCACGUCUCCUCAAACGCCGUCGCAUCCCGGAUUUUUGGCUUAUUUUUUCCUGUUCUGCAAAUCAGUGUAAAAACAAGUGCAAAACCCUCCUGCAUUCUGAGAAGAAUAAACUGUGAGAACUCAUACUGGGAUUCAGGCGGGGAGGAAGUGACCUUGUGAUUACUGCAUUAUGGAUCAGUUGUGUAGUAUGCAUUCCUGCAGCUCAAAGAGUAGAUCAUGGCUUGCAACAGUAAGGUCAUGGGUUCGAUUCCUGGAAUGCAUGAACUGAUCCAAGGUAUACCUCAAAAGCAGUGCAAGUCAGUUUGGAUUAAAGCCUCUGCCAAAUGCGUACAUGUAAAUGGCUUAUACAGUAAAUCAUGGCUUGCAACAGCAAGGUCAUAGGUUCGAUUCCCAGGAAUGCAUGACCUGAUAAAAUGUAGACCUUGAAUGCAGUGGAUAAAAUCGUCUGCCAGUUGCAUAAAUGUGUGUAAACCAAUAUGACACAAAACACAAGCUGUGAGUGUUAAAUGUCCUUCUGUCUUGUAGUGUGCACUUGGCCUGUUGAACUGUAAGGUCGUGACCUCUCUGAGCAAAUUCUGCAGGACUUGAGCCUCUUCUUUAUGUUUUUACAGCAGAACAGUAGUGCAAAAACAACUUCAAGCUGGUCCAGGGGUGUCUGCGGCAAAUAAAAGCUAUAACUGUACAAUGUGGGAGGAAAAUGAUCAAUAAUGAAUUCCUCUUUUAUUUGUGAUAUGUUAUAUUUGAUUAUUGUGUUCUAUGCAUAUCCGGUUGGGAGUUUAGUGCCUGUUUCUGUCAGAUUAUGUAGUUCAGAAUGCGAAACCAAGAUGCCGUUUGAUUACAAAUAAAUAAAUAUGGUGGUUUUUAUAUGGUUAGAAAACAAUACGCCCUCAAAAACAUGUAAAUGACUCUGAAAAUAAACUAAGACCUCUGAUUAUGAUGGAGGAUUUCAGAUUUCCUCUUGGUAAAAAGUGUAUUUUUCACAGGGAUUUGAGCGACUGGCUGAUCAUCUCUGUCUGUCUUGUGAACAUUUGCUGUUUUUCCAGUACGUUUGGAGUAAAACUGAUCAGAGAUCAUGUCAUGUAGGUGUUGUGCUGGAACAGCCACAGAUCUUCUGAUUGUAGAGAUACAGUGUUGUUGUUUCUGUGAUUCAGGUCUGACUCCAGAAGUUAAAAUCUGAGGGUUUUACAAGAUUUCAGAUCAAAUAUAGAGUCACACUCCCCUCUAGUGGUCAUAAUAAAAUUCCUAAAAAUAUGAUAGAGAGAGAGAGAGACAGAGAGACUGUUAUUUAAAUAUAUAUAUAUAACUGUUAUUUAAACACACACUUUCUGAAAAACUUUGGUGUUCACUAUUUCUUUAUUCAGGACAAUGUACAUCUUUGUAUUGAUUACUAUAGCACUGGGAGUGAUAAAUUAUAAACCGCUGUACAAAGUUAUAUGAGUUUUGUCUAUACUGAGAUGUUUGAUCAAUAAAACCAAAUGUGAUUUUGUGGUUA
ensembl:lncRNA